rnacentral:rRNA from 1 species
AUUGAACGCUGGCGGCAUGCCUUACAUAUGCAAGUCGAACGGCAGCACGGGGCAACCUGGUGGCGAGUGGCGAACGGGUGAGUAAUGCAUCGGAACGUGCCAUUGAGUGGGGGAUAACGUAGCGAAAGUUGCGCUAAUACCGCAUAUUCUGUGAGCAGGAAAGCAGGGGACCGCAAGGCCUUGCGCUCUUUGAGCGGCCGAUGUCAGAUUAGCUAGUUGGUGAGGUAACGGCUUACCAAGGCGACGAUCUGUAGCGGGUCUGAGAGGAUGAUCCGCCACACUGGAACUGAGACACGGUCCAGACUCCUACGGGAGGCAGCAGUGGGGAAUUUUGGACAAUGGGCGCAAGCCUGAUCCAGCCAUGCCGCGUGAGUGAAGAAGGCCU